AUGGGCCCUGGAACCCUCCUCCUGCUGCUCUCGGGGGCCCUGGGCCUGUCGGGGACCCGGGCGGGCUCCCACUCCCUGACGUAUUUCGGCACCUCCUGGUCCCGGCCCGGCCACGGGGAGCCCCGUUUUGUCGCCGUCGGCUACGUGGACGACACGCAGUUCGUGCGGUUCGACAGCGACACCGAGAGUCCGAGGGUGGAGCCGCUCGCGCCUUGGAUGGAGGGGCCGUGGGUGGAGCAGGUGAUGCCGGCGUACUGGGAUCGGCAGACACUGCACGCCAAGCUCUCCCAACAGAUUUUGCGCGAGUCCCUGCAGACCCCGCUCCGCUACUACGACCAGAGCGAGGCCGGGUCUCACACCAUCCAGGUGAGGUUUGGCUGCGACGUGGGGCCUGACGGGCGCCUCCUCCGCGGGUACGGGCAGGUCGCCUACGACGGCGUCGAUUAUCUCGUCCUGAACGAGGACCUGCGCUCCUGGACCGUGGAGGACACGGCGGCUCAGAUCACCUGGCGCAGGUGGGAGACGCUUGCUGUGAAGGAUCGCGUCAAGGGCUACUUUGAAGGCAUGUGCGUGGAGUGGCUCGGCAAAUACCUGGAGAAGGGGAAGGAGACGCUGCUGCGCGCAGACCCUCCAAAGACACACGUGACCCACCACCGCACCUCUGACCGUGAUGUCACCCUGAAGUGCUGGGCGCUGGGCUUCUACCCUGCGGAGAUCACCCUGACCUGGCAGCGCGAUGGGGAGGACCUGACCCAGGACACGGAGCUCGUGGAGACCAGGCCUGCGGGGGACGGGACCUUCCAGAAGUGGGCAGCUGUGGGGGUGCCUUCUGGAGAGGAGCAGAGAUACACGUGCCAUGUGCAGCACGAGGGGCUGCCCGAGCCCCUGACCCUGAGAUGGGAGCCGCUGCGGCCUCAGGCCACCAUCCCCACUGUCGUGGUGGGCGUCUUUGCUGGGCUGGUCCUCCUUGGAGCUGUGCUGUGGAGGUGGAGGUAGCGCUCAGAGGUGGAAAUGAAGAGAGAGACGUUCAGGCUGCAGGCGGUGACAGUGCCCAGGGCUCUGAUGUGUCUCUCACGGCUUCUAGAGCAUGAGACAGCUGCCUAGCGGGGACUGAGUGAUGCAAGAUUUGUUCCUGCCCCCACUUUGUGACACAGGACCCUCUGAGCUCUCUUUCCGCAAAGGGCAUCUGAAUGUGUCUGCGUUCCUCUCGCACCAUGUGAGGAGCUGGGAGACUGCCUGCCCCCUGCCCUCCACGCCCCCUCCCCACACUGACCAGUCUCUUCCCUGAUCCCCUGUCCUGUUCCCGCAGAGGCUGUUUGCAUCCCCGCCUUUACUUCAUGUUACGCUGAGUGGUAACUUAUUACUUCCUGGUAAAAUAAGAAUGUGGACGUGAAUUUGUUUUUUCAAUUCUUGCUAUGACGGGUUGAUGGGUUCAUUUAUGAAGGAGAAAAUCCUAAAGUUUGAGAGGAAGUAAAUGGAAGACCUGAGAACCUUCCAGAAUCCGUGUGUUUGCUGUGCUGAGUCUGUCGCAGGUGGAGACAGGAGAGGCUGUGAGGACCGAGCGUGGACGCGGCCCGAGCCCAGUCGGGGCUCAGUGCAUCGUGGGCUCUGACGUGGUCACUCCUCGGCGGGGUCACCUCUCUGCCCCUUUGUCCUCGUCCCUUCAGUAGGACCUCGUCCCACCAGGACCUGUGAUCACAGGGACUAGGACAUCACCCAGGUCUGGUCUUGUCAGUGACGGCUUCGUGUGGCCGGGUCACCAGGCUCAGGCCUGGCCCGACCCUCGGCCCCCAUCCUUUGGGUGUUCAUUGUUGUUUCCACAGAGGAAUAUGACUGUGUUUGUUCUU